rnacentral:rRNA from 1 species
UACGUAGGGUCCAAGCGUUAAUCGGAAUUACUGGGCGUAAAGCGUGCGCAGGCGGUUGGUUAAGUCUGAUGUGAAAGCCCCGGGCUCAACCUGGGAAUGGCAUUGGAAACUGGCUGGCUAGAGUGUGGCAGAGGGGGGUGGAAUUCCGCGUGUAGCAGUGAAAUGCGUAGAGAUGCGGAGGAACACCGAUGGCGAAGGCAGCCCCCUGGGCUGACACUGACGCUCAGGCACGAAAGCGUGGGGAGCAAACAGG